rnacentral:lncRNA from 10 species
UUUUCCUUAAUCUAGUUAAAGCUUUGUCAACUUUGUUGAUCUCUUCAAAGAACUAAUUUUUUGUUUCAUUGAUUCUAUUGUUUUUCUAUUCUCUAUUUCAUUUAUUUUUGCUCUAAUCCUUAUUAUUUCCUUCCUCUUUAUGGCUUCAAACUCAAUUGAACAUAAAGUAUUAAGAAAUUUGACUUUUUUCUCAAAUGUCUAAAAUGUAACAAGAAAUAUGUCUAGAGUCAUCAAAAAGCAGCCUGUUUGUCAGAUUUACUGUUUAAUCCAUGUAAACAGCUUUCAUAUAAUUCAUGAUAGAAUAUUACUAUGUGCUUUGGAAGACACUGAAGGAAAGACAAAAGGUCAUUGGGCAGAACCACCCUAGAUUGACUGUUAAGGCCAUCUUCUAGUUUGCAGGACUUGUGGUAGACAGACAGAAUAAUAUCCUGGACCUCUUGGGUGUAUACAGGACAAACUGAAAUAAACUCUCAUUUUUAGAUCAUAAUGUCAUCAUGAAACAUAUCAAUUCGGUCUAUUUCUGAAGAAAACAAGCACAAUGAUAAAGUUUGAAUGUUUGUCUCCUCCAAAUCUCAUGCUGACAUUUGAUCCCCAAUGUUGGAGGUGGGGCGCACUGGGAGGUGUUUUCGUUACGGGGGCAGAUCCCUCAUGAAUGGCUUGGUGCUGUCUUCAUGGGAUUAAGUUCUCACUCCUACUUCCUGUGAGAUCUUAUUGUUAAAAAGAAUCUGAUACCUUCCUCCCCUCUCUUGCUCUCUUCCUCCCUGAUCAUGUGACACACGGGUUCCCCUUUGCCUUCCACCACGAUGGAGGCUUCCUGAGGCCCUCAACAGAAGCAGAUGCUGGCGCCAUGCUUCUCGUACAGCCUGCAGAAUUGUGUGAGCCAAAUAAACCUCUUUUCCUUAUAUAUUACCCAGCCUCAGGUAUUUGUUUAUAGCAAUAAAAACAGACUGAGACACAUGAUGAAGACCCUUUGAUAUCCUAUAAAUAUUGAUUUCUCUCCCUGAGAGAAGAGCAUGAAUCUAAGUGAUGCCAUUACUCUAAUGUGAAUUCCACAACUCUUCUCAAAGAUGUGGCCCAUAUGUUCCUAAUAAUGGCUUUCUAAGAAUCUGUUCUGAAGGGGUACCUUCUCUCUGAUUUUCAUUUGCAUUUCCUGCUUAGCUUACACACUUCACCUUGCCUAUCCACCUGUCCUGACCCCAAUAACCUCCAUCAUCAGACAUCUCAUCUUACCUACCUACUUUCUACUUUUCCCAGUCCUUCCCGUGCUUCAUAAACCAUGAUCAUGAGCUAGAGACACAAGGUCAUAGCUAAGGAGUUGGGAUCAGAAAAUCACCUUCUGUGAUUUUCCAUUAUUGUCAAUACAUAACUUCAACAAAAUCAAGAAAAUCAUGAAAGGACAUCCUAAGGGGUCAGGUGAGGUUGCAGUGGGGUUAGUCGGUCAAUAGUUUCUUUAUGCCAAUUAGGAUUUCUGCAGAAAACAAUGAAAUACUGGUUUAAACAGUAAAAAUAUUUUAAUUCCUUACAGAAGCCCAUGGAACAUACACUCCAGGUUUAAUUCAUCAGCUCAAUAGCAUCAUCAAUGACUUAGGUUCUUUCCACUUUCUGCUUGUCAUCUGUGUUGGCUUUAUUUUCAAGCUAGCUCCUCCCUGGUUGCAAGAUAAUUGCAGCAGGUUUAGUUAUCAUAUUCGGACAUGCUAACGCCCAGGGUAGUGAUCCCUUCCUUGCAUUUCUUUCUCAUUUUAAGAACAAAGUGUUUAAAAAAUUAUACUUAAAAUUAUUGGCAUCU